rnacentral:rRNA from 1 species
GACGAACGCUGGCGGCGUGCUUAACACAUGCAAGUCGAACGGAAAGGCCCUGCUUUUGUGGGGUGCUCGAGUGGCGAACGGGUGAGUAACACGUGAGUAACCCGCCCUUGACUUUGGGAUAACUCUAGGAAACUGGGGCUAAUACCGGAUAGGAGCUCCUGAUGCAUGGUGGGGGUUGGAAAGUUUCGGCGGUUGGGGAUGGACUCGCGGCUUAUCCGCUUGUUGGUGGGGUAGUGGCUUACCAAGGCUUUGACGGAUAGCCGGCCUGAGAGCGUGACCGGCCACAUUGGGACUGAGAUACGGCGCAGACGCCUACGGGAGGCAGCAGUGGGGAAUAUUGCGCAAUGGGCGGGAGCCUGAGGCAGCAACGCCGCGUUCGUGAAGACGGCCUACGGGUUGUAAACCUCUUUCGCCUGUAACGAAGCGAGAGUGACGGUAAUGAGUAAAGAAGCACCGGCUAACUACGUG